AUCUAUGGCCAGACCACCCUGAAUGUGCCUGAUCUUGUCUGAUCUUGGAAGCUAAACAGGGUUGGACCUGGUUAGUACUUGGAUGAGAGAAUACAAAUGCUAUGAACA
rnacentral:rRNA from 1 species